GAGGAAUAUUGCGCAAUGGAGGGAACUCUGACGCAGCCAUGCCGCGUGCAGGAUGACGGCCUUAUGGGUUGUAAACUGUUUUUAUACAAGAGGAACCGCUUUUUUUCGUAAAGAGUUUGACAGUAUCGUAUGAAUAAGGACCGGCUAACUCCGUGCCAGCAGCCGCGGUAAUACGGAGGGUCCAAGCGUUAUCCGGAUUUAUUGGGUUUAAAGGGUACGUAGGCGGAAUUUUAAGUCAGUAGUGAAAGCCCGUUGCUUAACAACGGAAUUGUUAUUGAAACUGGAGUUCUUGAAUAUAGUUGAGGUAAGCGGAAUAUGGCAUGUAGCGGUGAAAUGCAUAGAUAUGCCAUGGAACACCAAUUGCGAAGGCAGCUUACUAAGCUAUUAUUGACGCUAAGGUACGAAAGCGUGGGGAGCAAAC
rnacentral:rRNA from 1 species